AACCCAGCUGACUUGGGUAUAUUUAAUAUUUGGGAAUUUUUCCCUGGCAACCACCUUAUAUUUGAUUUAAAACACGACACUGUCUUGAAACCAUAUUUUCUGUGGUCACAAUUUAAGCCAACCACUCUUUUAUCUGUAACAGUUUAUGACUCCCACUAUUUUAAUCAUUACAGUACCCUGUUUUUAGUUUAUUCCUUUGUUGUCUUCAGACUAGCUCCUUCCAGCCUUCACAAAAACAAGUGCCAUCCAUUGUCACAAGGACAACUCAAAGGAAAAUGUGAAGAGAUCUGUGCACAACAGUCCCCUGUCUUAGAAAAAAACCAUCAGCAUACAAGUCCUACUGAUACUAUGAAAAGUAACCACCACCUUUUCCCCAGGUCUGCCAGAGUCAUUUUCAAGGUUUCCAGAGGACAAGUGGUUGGAGAGCCGCGUGGCCAGGUGCCUCCCAUCUCCACCAUGAAGCUGUUUACUUCGGUGAUGAUCUACGUUCCCAUCAGCCUCGUCCUCCUGUCCGCUUUCUGGCACACAACUUGCUUAGCAGGUCUGCUGCUCUCUCCACUAUGUUACCUAGCCACCCCAACGAUUUGCCUUUUGGAUGAAGGUGAAAUGAACUUGGCAGUGGCCACCGAGUCCCAGAAUUAGGUUUCCUUACAACUGGAAUGUCAUCCACAAGAUCCAG
rnacentral:lncRNA from 1 species